ensembl:lncRNA
AAUAUAUAUAACUCUUUGGUUUGAUACAACUUCACACUCUUGAAAAUGUAAAUUCAAAGUUUCACUCUUAAAAUAACCAACAAUGUUUUACACUCUUUCAGAAAACUCAACAGAAAGUAAACAACAAAAAUGCACAGGUAAAUAACCAGAUGAAAAGGUAUCAGUCCAAAGCAAAUACUUAGUCCUUUGAAAUAAAUGUCCAACGUGGAAACAAAAAUACUCAGAUCCUUGAGUGAAAAGAAGUUUCGAUGCUUAGCAAAAAAUGUGUCCAAAAAGUAAAAAACAGGUUUACACAAUAUUUCCUACCAGUGUGAUGAACAACUUCCAGAUUCUAUGAAAUGGGAUGGCUCGCCAGUUUCUGCAACCGUGUGUUCUCUCUCUCUCUCGAUGGACAGCAGAAACAAUUCUCCCAAACGUCAACAAAACUCCAGAUCCAGAAUCAGCAUUGCUCUCAGGAACAUCAAUAAACAAAGAAGAGAGAGAGAAAAGAAAAGAAACCAACAAAAAAAAAAAAAACCCAACCUUGCAAAACAAGGCAGAAAAUUACAAUUAAUAUCAGAGCUCUCAAUAUCAAAAGCAUAUUUCAGUAACACACUGAAAAAAUGUACAAUUGCACUCACAAUAUACACAUCUCUUUUUUCUUUAAACACAUUUCUCAUUAAAAUACAACAACUGAUUUGCUCAACUUACUCAACCCAUAUAAAUCAAUGCGUUAGCCAUUAGCUAAGACCGCAUGGUUAGCAUAACUCCCUGUGCUUAGCAUCACACUUUCAGCACAUAUUAUUGACAUAAAAUAACCAUUUGACCACAAAUCAACAUAUAUACACAUAUAUUUUUCUUCUAAAACAUUGAACAGAAAUAAAGCAUAAUUUAGACGUUUGUUUUGUAGUGAAACACUACACUAACUAAUUUAUAUAAAGGACAGACAAAUACAUAUACAUGUAAUUCACUUACCAAGAAAAAUAGUGAGUAAACAGAACAAUCCCGGAUGGAAAAAUAAAAAUCUCUCUUUUGGUUUCUCUCGAGUGAAUUAACUUUUUUCUGUUUCCUAUUUUCUUCAGAUCCAGUGCAAUCGCGAUCGUCUAAUGUAAGCACCACUUUACUGCUAACGAGCGAACACUGUUCUCAUAUUUCAAAACACUUCUCUUACAGAUCGACUUAACUUAAAACACUUUAAAUCUCUGUUCAAAAGCUGUUUUUGCUAAAUCGCCAUGUCUCCGCUUCUCACCGUUCUCUCCCUUUUUUUGUUUGUUCUCCUCAAUCCCCUUUUUCUGUUUUUUUUUUGACGUCAACCUUGAGGGAGGGGUUACUCUUAAACGGCCAGUUUCUAAUUUUACUUAUUU